GAGUUUGAUCCUGGCUCAGGAUGAACGCUAGCGGCAGGCUUAAUACAUGCAAGUCGAGCGGUAACAGCAGAGUUUACUUUGGCUGACGAGUGGCGCACGGGUGAGUAACGCGUACACAAUCUACCUUCAAGAGGGGCAUAGUCUAUGGAAACGUAGAAUAAUACCCCACAGGAUCUCAGAGUCGCAUGGCUUAGAGAUUAAAGCUGAGGUGCUUGAAGAUGAGUGUGCGUCCUAUUAGCUAGAUGGAGAGGUAACGGCUCACCAUGGCGAUGAUAGGUAGGGGGCGUGAGAGCGUGGACCCCCACACGGGUACUGAGACACGGACCCGACUCCUACGGGAGGCAGCAGUAAGGAAUAUUGGACAAUGGCCGGAAGGCUGAUCCAGCCAUGCCGCGUGAAGGAAGACUGUCCUAUGGAUUGUAAACUUCUUUUAUAUGGGAAGAAGCACCUGGAUUUAUCCGGGUUUGACGGUACCAUACGAAUAAGCACCGGCUAACUCCGUGCCAGCAGCCGCGGUAAUACGGAGGGUGCAAGCGUUAUCCGGAAUUACUGGGUUUAAAGGGUGCGUAGGCGGAUAUAUAAGUCAGUUGUGAAAGGUCUGAGCUAAACUGAGGAAUUGCAAUUGAAACUGUAUAUCUUGAAUGGGGCUGAGGUUAGCGGAAUGAGUCAUGUAGCGGUGAAAUGCAUAGAUAUGACUUAGAACACCGAUUGCGAAGGCAGCUAACUAGACUUCUAUUGACGCUGAGGCACGAAAGCGUGGGGAGCGAACAGGAUUAGAUACCCUGGUAGUCCACGCCCUAAACGAUGUUAACUCGAUGUGUGGGUCGUAGACUUGCGCAUCCAAGGGAAACCGUUAAGUUAACCACCUGGGGAGUACGUUCGCAAGAAUGAAACUCAAAGGAAUGACGG
rnacentral:rRNA from 1 species